rnacentral:rRNA from 1 species
CCUACGGGAGGCUGCAGUGGGGAAUAUUGCUCAAUGGGCGCAAGCCUGAACCAGCCAAGUCGCGUGAAGGAUGACUGCCCUACGGUUUGUAAACUUCUUUUAUAAAGGAAUAAAGUGAGGCACGUGUGCCUUUUUGUAUGUACUUUAUGAAUAAGGAACGGCUAACUCCGUGCCAACAGCCGCGGUAAUACGGAGGAUCCGAGCGUUGUCCGGAUUUGUUGGGAUUAAAGGGAGCGUAGAUGGGUUGUUAAGUCAGUUGUGAAAGUUUGCGGCUCGACCGUAAAAUUGCAAGUGAUACUGGCAGUCUUGAGUACAGUAGAGGUAGGCGGAAUUCGUAGUGUAGCGGUGAAAUGCUUAGAUAUCACGAAGAACACCGAUUGCGAAGGCAGCUUACUAAACUGCCACUGACAUUGAUGCUCGAAAGUGUGGGUAUCAAACAGGAUUAGAUACCCCUGUAGUC